AGAGUUUGAUCCUGGCUCAGGAUGAACGCUAGCUACAGGCUUAACACAUGCAAGUCGAGGGGCAGCAUCAUCAAAGCUUGCUUUGAUGGAUGGCGACCGGCGCACGGGUGAGUAACACGUAUCCAACCUGCCGACAACACUGGGAUAGCCUUUCGAAAGAAAGAUUAAUACCGGAUGGCAUAGUUUUCCCGCAUGGGAUAAUUAUUAAAGAAUUUCGGUUGUCGAUAGGGAUGCGUUCCAUUAGGCAGUUGGCGGGGUAACGGCCCACCAAACCAACGAUGGAUAGGGGUUCUGAGAGGAAGGUCCCCCACAUUGGAACUGAGACACGGUCCAAACUCCUACGGGAGGCAGCAGUGAGGAAUAUUGGUCAAUGGACGAGAGUCUGAACCAGCCAAGUAGCGUGAAGGAUGACUGCCCUAUGGGUUGUAAACUUCUUUUAUACGGGAAUAAAGUUAGCCACGUGUGGCUUUUUGUAUGUACCGUAUGAAUAAGGAUCGGCUAACUCCGUGCCAGCAGCCGCGGUAAUACGGAGGAUCCGAGCGUUAUCCGGAUUUAUUGGGUUUAAAGGGAGCGUAGGCGGGUUGUUAAGUCAGUUGUGGAAGUUUGCGGCUCAACCGUAAAAUUGCAGUUGAUACUGGCGACCUUGAGUGCAACAGAGGUAGGCGGAAUUCGUGGUGUAGCGGUGAAAUGCUUAGAUAUCACGAAGAACUCCGAUUGCGAAGGCAGCUUACUGGAUUGUAACUGACGCUGAUGCUCGAAAGUGUGGGUAUCAAACAGGAUUAGAUACCCUGGUAGUCCACACAGUAAACGAUGAAUACUCGCUGUUGGCGAUAUACAGUCAGCGGCCAAGCGAAAGCAUUAAGUAUUCCACCUGGGGAGUACGCCGGCAACGGUGAAACUCAAAGGAAUUGACGGGGGCCCGCACAAGCGGAGGAACAUGUGGUUUAAUUCGAUGAUACGCGAGGAACCUUACCCGGGCUUAAAUUGCAACUGACUGAACCGGAAACGGUUCUUUCUUCGGACAGUUGUGAAGGUGCUGCAUGGUUGUCGUCAGCUCGUGCCGUGAGGUGUCGGCUUAAGUGCCAUAACGAGCGCAACCCUUAUCGAUAGUUACUAGCAGGUCAUGCUGAGGACUCUAUUGAGACUGCCGUCGUAAGAUGUGAGGAAGGUGGGGAUGACGUCAAAUCAGCACGGCCCUUACGUCCGGGGCUACACACGUGUUACAAUGGGGGGUACAGAAGGCAGCUACACGGCGACGUGGUGCUAAUCCCGAAAGCCUCUCUCAGUUCGGAUUGGAGUCUGCAACCCGACUCCAUGAAGCUGGAUUCGCUAGUAAUCGCGCAUCAGCCACGGCGCGGUGAAUACGUUCCCGGGCCUUGCACACACCGCCCGUCAAG
rnacentral:rRNA from 1 species